CGAUUUCUAGAGCGAAUCGGCAGCGGUUUUGUAAAGAGCCGCCGUAUUGGUCGGUCCUGUCGUUUACUUGGUCUUUCAUGAAUUGCUCUAUCAAGUAACCAUGAGCGCCGUGGAUCUCAAUUCCGUCAAAACCUAUAGAAAAAAGUAAGUUACGAUCUUCAGUUUUUGAUAGGGUUUUACCAUCUUUUAACAAUGUUACACCAUUUUUGACGAAUUUAUGCAAAAAAUGUUUCAAAUUUUUUGCUAAUUUAUGCAACCAGGUUUCAAUACUUUUUUUUUUUACCAAUUUAUAAAACAUUGUAUUUUAAUAGAUUAAACAGGUUAUAGGUAAGAUGUUGCAUAUUAUGUUUCUAGAAUGAAAUGUGGUUGCACACUGCACAUUUUGUCUAAAAAAACCACUUUGUUGUGUAACUUGGAAAAAAGUGAAAGUUGUAGCAUAAAUAAGCAUUUAAGAACAAGUGGUAUUUGGAUUAUGAAAAAAAAAAGGUGUUUUAUAUAUAGAGGUAAUUAUCUUACCAGCUUCAAUUGCAUUUCUUGCAGCAACUCUGAAAUCAUUAACAACAAGCGGAAUCUCCUCUGUAGUCAGCUUCCUUGGAGGUGAAAAUUGUGCAACAUCAAUGCCAUUGCUUCGUAAUUGAGGAAAUAUUUCUUUUUCUGUGGAAGAUAUUGGGGCUUGUCCAU
rnacentral:lncRNA from 1 species